UACGAACUGUGCAAACGUUAUUCGGAAUCACUGGACUUACAGGGUGCGUAGGCGGCUUGUUAAGUAGGGUGUGAAAGCCCCCGGCUCAACCGGGGAAUUGCGCCCUAAACUGGCGAGCUGGAGUGAGAUAGGGGUGUGUGGAACUUCCGGUGGAGCGGUGAAAUGUGUUGAUAUCGGAAGGAACGCCGGUGGCGAAAGCGACACACUGGAUCUUGUCUGACGCUGAGGCACGAAAGCCAGGGGAGCGAACGGG
rnacentral:rRNA from 1 species